rnacentral:rRNA from 1 species
UACGAAGGGGGCUAGCGUUGCUCGGAAUCACUGGGCGUAAAGCGCACGUAGGCGGAUUGCUAAGUCAGGGGUGAAAUCCUGGAGCUCAACUCCAGAACUGCCUUUGAUACUGGUGAUCUUGAGUCCGGGAGAGGUGAGUGGAACUGCGAGUGUAGAGGUGAAAUUCGUAGAUAUUCGCAAGAACACCAGUGGCGAAGGGCGGGUCUCUGGGCCGAU